rnacentral:rRNA from 1 species
GACGAACGCUGGCGGCGUGCUUAACACAUGCAAGUCGAACGGAAAGGCCCUGCUUUUGUGGGGUGCUCGAGUGGCGAACGGGUGAGUAACACGUGAGUAACCUGCCCUUGACUUUGGGAUAACUUCAGGAAACUGGGGCUAAUACCGGAUAGGAGCUCCUGCUGCAUGGUGGGGGUUGGAAAGUUUCGGCGGUUGGGGAUGGACUCGCGGCUUAUCAGCUUGUUGGUGGGGUAGUGGCUUACCAAGGCUUUGACGGGUAGCCGGCCUGAGAGGGUGACCGGCCACAUUGGGACUGAGAGACGGCGCAGACUCCUACGGGAGGCAGCAGUGGGAAAUAUUGCACAAUGGGCGGAAGCCUGAUGCAGCAACGCCGCGUGCGGGAUGACGGCCUUCGGGUUGUAAACCGCUUUCGCCUGUGACGAAGCGUGAGUGACGGUAAUGGGUAAAGAAGCACCGGCUAACUACGUG